UACGAAGGGUGCAAGCGUUACUCGGAAUUACUGGGCGUAAAGCGUGCGUAGGCGGUUUGUUAAGUCUGUCGUGAAAGCCCCGGGCUCAACCUGGGGAAUGGCGAUGGAUACUGGCGAGCUAGAGUACGGUAGAGGAGAGUGGAAUUCCCGGUGUAGCAGUGAAAUGCGUAGAGAUCGGGAGGAACAUCAGUUGCGAAGGCGGCUCUCUGGACCAGUACUGACGUUGAGGCACGAAAGCGUGGG
rnacentral:rRNA from 1 species